rnacentral:rRNA from 1 species
AUACGGAGGGUGCAAGCGUUACUCGGAAUCACUGGGCGUAAAGCGCGCGCAGGCGGCUAUUUAAGUUGGAUGUGAAAGCCUACGGCUCAACCGUAGAACUGCAUCCAAAACUAUUUAGCUAGAGUGUGGGAGAGGAAGAUGGAAUUAGUUGUGUAGGGGUAAAAUCCGUAGAGAUAACUAGGAAUACCAAAAGCGAAGGCAAUCUUCUGGAACAUUACUGACGCUGAGGCGCGAAAGCGUGGGGAGCAAACAGGAUUAGAAACCCCAGUAGUCC